GCAUUGGUGGUAGAAUUCCUGUCUUCCAUGCAGGAGACCCAGGUUUGAUUCCCAGCCAAUGCU
rnacentral:tRNA from 1 species